CCCAUCGUGCUUUCCUCACCAAUCCCUUUUAUGACCUCGUUUGAUGUUGCUCUUUCCAUUAUCCUAGGCAAGAUAUCUGCAGCUAAAAUGAAGAGGAGCAGCGACAAAGGAUCCCCUUUCUUUAAAUCUUUAUGUGCUAUGAUCCAAUUUGUCAUCUCCCCAUUAACAUUUAUAGCUAGAUUGCUAUUUUGAAGGAUGCCUUGGAUCCAGCAACAUCAUCUUGGUCCAAAUCCUCUAGCUCUCAACAUGUUGAAAACAAAUUCCCAC
rnacentral:lncRNA from 1 species